rnacentral:rRNA from 1 species
AUUGAACGCUGGCGGCAGGCCUAACACAUGCAAGUCGAGCGAGCGGCGGACGGGUGAGUAAUGUAUGGGGACUGCCCGAUGGCGGGGGAGAACUACUGGAAACGGUGGCUAAUACAGCAGACUGUCGGAUAACCUAUACGGGAUUAGAUAGUAGGUAAGGUAAUGGCUUAUCUAGGCGACGAUACCUAGCUGGUCUGAGAGGAUGUGCAGCCAGACUGGGACGGAGACGCGGCCCAGACUCCGACGGAGGCGGAAGUGGGGAAUAUUGGACAAUGGGCGCAAGCCUGAUGCAGCCAUGCCGCGUGUAUGAAGAAGGCCCUAGGGGUGUAAAGUACUGUCAGUCGGGAGGCGUUACCGACAGAAGAAGCACCGGCUAACUCCGUGCCAGCAGCCGCGGUAAUUC